rnacentral:rRNA from 1 species
AGGACGAACGCUGGCGGCGUGCUUAACACAUGCAAGUCGAACGAGAGGACAAGAGAAGCUUGCUUCUUUUGGAAUCGAGUGGCAAACGGGUGAGUAACACGUAAACAACCUGCCUUCAGGAUGGGGACAACAGACGGAAACGACUGCUAAUACCGAAUACGCUUGGAAGACCGCAUGAUUUUCCAAGGAAAGGGUGGCCUCUACCUGUAAGCUAUCGCCUGAAGAGGGGUUUGCGUCUGAUUAGGCAGUUGGUGAGGUAACGGCCCACCAAACCUACGAUCAGUAGCCGGUCUGAGAGGAUGAACGGCCACAUUGGGACUGAGACACGGCCCAAACUCCUACGGGAGGCAGCAGUGGGGAAUAUUGCACAAUGGGGGAAACCCUGAUGCAGCGACGCCGCGUGAGUGAUGAAGUAUUUCGGUAUGUAAGACUCUAUCAGCAGGGAAGAUAAUGACGGUACCUGACUAAGAAGCACCGGCUAAAUACGUG